AUUGAACGCUGGCGGCAGGCCUAACACAUGCAAGUCGAGCGAGAGGCGGACGGGUGAGUAAUGUCUGGGACACUGCCUGAUGGAGGGGGAUAACUACUGGAAACGGUAGCUAAUACCGCAUACCAUCAGAUGUGCCCAGUUGGGAUUAGCUAGUGGGUGGGGUAACGGCUAACCUAGGCGACGAUCCCUAGCUGGUCUGAGAGGAUGACCAGCCACACGGGAAUUGAGACACGGUCCAGAGUCCGACGGAAGGCAGCAGUGGGGAAUAUUGCACAAUGGGCGCAAGCCUGAUGCAGCCAUGCCGCGUGUGUGAAGAAGGCUUUCGGGUUGUAAAGCACUUUCAGCGGGGAGGCGUUACCCGCAGAAGAAGCACCGGCUAACUCCGUGCCAGCAGCCGCGGUAAUUC
rnacentral:rRNA from 1 species